AGCAGCCGCGGUAAUUCCAGCUCCAAUAGCGUAUAUUAAAGUUGUUGCAGUUAAAAAGCUCGUAGUUGAAUUUCAGGCCUGGCUGGACGGUCCGCCCUUCGGGUGAGUACUGUCUUUGGUCGGGUCCUACCUUCUGGCGAGGCGUCAUGGCCUUAACCGGCCGUGGCGGGGAACCAGGACUUUUACUGUGAAAAAUUAGAGUGUUCAAAGCAGGCAAUCGCUUGGAUACAUUAGCAUGGAAUAAUGGAAUAGGACAAUGGUUCUAUUUGUUGGUUUCUAGGACCGUUGUAAUGAUUAAUAGGGAUAGUUGGGGGCAUUAGUAUUCAAUUGUCAGAGGUGAAAUUCUUGGAUUUAUUGAAGACUAACUACUGCGAAAGCAUUUGCCAAGGAUGUUUUCAUUAAUCAAGAACGAAAGUUAGGGGAUCGAAGACGAUCAGAUACCGUCGUAGU
rnacentral:rRNA from 1 species